rnacentral:rRNA from 1 species
GGAAUUUUGGACAAUGGGCGCAAGCCUGAUCCAGCCAUGCCGCGUGAGUGAAGAAGGCCUUCGGGUUGUAAAGCUCUUUCGGCGGGGACGAAACGGUCCGUGCCAAAACCACGGACUAAUGACGGUACUCGCAGAAGAAGCACCGGCCAACUACGUUCCAGCCGCCGCGGUAAUACGUAGGGUGCGGGCGUUAAUCGGAAUUACUGGGCGUAAAGCGUGCGCAGGCGGCUCCUUAAGUCAGAUGUGAAAUCCCCGGGCUUAACCUGGGAACUGCGUUUGAAACUGAGGGGCUUGAGUGUGGAAGAGGGGGGUGGAAUUCCAGGUGUAGCAGUGAAAUGCGUAGAGAUCUGGAGGAACACCGAUGGCGAAGGCAGCCCCCUGGGCGAACACCGACGCUCAUGCACGAAAGCGUGGGGAGCAAACAGG